rnacentral:pre_miRNA from 1 species
AUGACACUGAAUGAACUGACGUAUCAAGAGAAUCGUGAGAUCAUAUUAGUGUCAUUU